rnacentral:rRNA from 1 species
AGUGAACGCUGGCGGUAGGCCUAACACAUGCAAGUCGAACGGCAGCACAGUAAGAGCUUGCUCUUACGGGUGGCGAGUGGCGGACGGGUGAGGAAUACAUCGGAAGCUACUUUUUCUUGGGGGAGAACGUAGGGAAACUUACGCUAAUACCGCAUACGACCUACGGGUGAAAGCAGGGGAUCUUCGGACCUUGCGCGAUUGAAUGAGCCGAUGUCGGAUUAGCUAGUUGGCGGGGUAAAGGCCCACCAAGGCGACGAUCCGUAGCUGGUCUGAGAGGAUGAUCAGCCACACUGGAACUGAGACACGGUCCAGACUCCUACGGGAGGCAGCAGUGGGGAAUAUUGGACAAUGGGCGCAAGCCUGAUCCAGCCAUACCGCGUGGGUGAAGAAGGCCUUCGGGUUGUAAAGCCCUUUUGUUGGGAAAGAAAAGCAGCAGGUUAAUACCCCGCUGUUCUGACGGUACCCAAAGAAUAAGCACCGGCUAACUUCGUG